UGGGGAAUUUUGGACAAUGGGCGAAAGCCUGAUCCAGCCAUGCCGCGUGAGUGAAGAAGGCCUUCGGGUUGUAAAGCUCUUUUAGUCGGAAAGAAAGAGUUGCAAUGAAUGAUUGUGAUUUAUGACGGUACCGACAGAAAAAGCACCGGCUAACUACGUGCCAGCAGCCGCGGUAAUACGUAGGGUGCGAGCGUUAAUCGGAAUUACUGGGCGUAAAGGGUGCGCAGGCGGUCUUGCAAGUCAGAUGUGAAAGCCCCGGGCUUAACCUGGGAAUUGCGUUUGAAACUACAAGACUAGAGUGCAGCAGAGGGGAGUGGAAUUCCAUGUGUAGCAGUGAAAUGCGUAGAGAUGUGGAAGAACACCGAUGGCGAAGGCAGCUCCCUGGGUUGACACUGACGCUCAUGCACGAAAGCGUGGGGAGCAAACA
rnacentral:rRNA from 1 species